GACCAGGACUCACAUUUAGGACUGGAUUAGUCUGGAUCAGAGACUCACACCUGGUCCAAUGGCACUACUGUUAUUCUGGAAGUAUUUUACUUGUAGACCAGUG